AAAUAUUUAUGUUUGUGCGUUCGUCAAUUAAAAUAUUCGUGAUUCGAAGUGCAUAUCCGUUAAUCCGGUGUAACUCCAAAAUAUCCGUGAAAACAGAUAAAAUCCGUAAAAACGGGAACUCUGCCUUAAUCUAUUAUGAAUGCUGUUUUUACAUAAAUAACCAGUGGAUUACUGGGUCUUAAACCAAUGUACCAGAUUGCUUUUAAAGCAACGGACUAAAUUCCUGUAAAUAUGGCAUCUUUAUUUUAGCACAUCAGAAAUGUUUUGGAAAAGAAGUUGACAACAGUGAAUUUUUAAACAUUGUAAAGUGAACCGGAAACUUUUAUUAACUUUUUCAAUUCCUUAACAUAAAAAUCGUUUUGAUAGAAGUUGAAGAACGUUUUGAAAGAACUUUGGGAAAGUUUGUUUGGAAUAUCUCUACAAUGACUACCAGAUUGAUAUAUAUAUAUAUAUAUAUAUAUAUAUAUAUAUAUAUAUAUACCAACAAUUGGAUACUGAUAUCUAUCGGAAUUAGUGCGUUAUGUGGUGCAAUUAUCCUGAAUUUUAUUUCGUUCAGCAUUCGUAAGGUUGUAACGAAUUUUGCAGAAUUCAGGUUUCACGAUGCGAAAGAAAAACAUUUUCAGUGUGAGAUGGAUAUCACAUCAUCUCAGUCUUCGCAGUUUUCAGAAAAGAUUGUAAUUUGGAAAUUUUACAAUACACAUGGCAGUUGUGAUUCAUUGAAUUAUUUUGGUAUACAGUGAAACCUCUUUAAUACAAACCUGAAGGGACCUAAAAUUUUGCAGUUUGUAUUAACGAGGUUUGUAUUAACAGGUGCAUAUGCUCACAUUAAUAAUAAUCGACAAAAUCAAGUAUUGAUUUUUUACUUGAAAAUUAGUCAAAUAGAGAAUUAAAGAGGCUUGAAAAAUUCAUUGAUUUUUUUCUGCACUUUUUUAGUUGCAUAAAUGUUCUUUACUGCACUCCAAAGUUUGUCGAAGGAAGACAAGACAUCAGUGUCUACAUCACUAGCAGCCAGAACAUUUUCCAAGACAAUUAAUGCUGAAGAAGCUUCAUUUCUGCUUGGAAGUUCGUGAACGUCGUCAUCCACAUCAUCACUCUCUUCUUCUUCUCCAUCCUCACAUACAACUGGAACAACUUUGUCCAGCUCACUUUCACAUUCAUUCAGUGGUGCAGCUUUUGUAUACACAUUAUCAUCAACAUGAACAUAAUCUUUGAAGUUGCCAGAAGCACCAUGUUGCCGAAGUUCUUCCCAGCCUUCCACUAGGUCUGAACUAUCAUCUUCGGGACUUUCAUCUGUUUUGCCAAACCCACUUUUGGCAAAACAGUUUUGGAUUGUUGCUGUUGAUACACUGUCCCAAGCCAUUGAAAUGUUCCUCAUCGCAUCCAACACAUUCCACCUUGGCUGAGAAGACUUCUGUAGCUCAAGCUGCCUAAUGAGGUACUUCACUAGACGUGUCCUGUAGAACCUCUUGACUGUGGCAAUGAUGCCCUGGUCCAGUGGUUGCAUGAAGCUGGUUGUAUUUGCUGGCAGGAACAUCAGUGUGACAUUAUUCAGCUGUAGCCCAUGAGCUGUAUGUGCUGCACAACGAUCUAACAAUAGAAGAACAUUUCUGUUCAGAGUUGCCAUCUUCCUGUCAAACUGGAUUAGCCACGACUGGAACAAUUUACUCGUUACCCAUCCAUUUUCAUUUGCUUCAUAAUCACAGGGCAGUCGAGCAGUAUCAAUACCCUUGAAACAUCUAGGUUUCAUUGACUUUGAAAUUACUAAAGGUUUCAGCUUUGUGCUACCAUCCUGGUUGCAGCACAACAAAACAGUGAUUCGUGCCUUGCUAUGUCUGCCACCAUGACAAGAUUCUCCUCUGAAGGCCCAUGUCUUGUUUGGAAGCAAGUUAUAAAAAAUUCCGGUUUCGUCCAUGUUAAAUAUGUCGCGUGGCGCAUAUUUAUUCAAAACUGGCUGCACAGAACCUAGCCAAUCAAGUGCAGCAUCUUUGUCCACAGCUGCACUCUCUCCACAAACAGCUUUAUAAACCAAAUUAUUUCGCUCCUUGAAUCGCUGCAACCAUCCAUUACUGCACUUAAAGUCAUCAAUUUUCAGUGUCAGUGCAAAAUAAUCUGCCUUUUGUUGGAUCAUUGGCCCGGACAUGGGUAUGUUACCAUCCCGCAUCUGUUGAAACCAUUCCAGUAGCUUAUCUUCCAGUUCCUUGUGUUGAGGACCACGCAUACUUUUUUUUCCCUUUGUACAACUACCACUCGCGCACGCUGCUUCUAAUUUUUCACUCUUGCUCACUAUCAUCGAGAGAGUCGACAACGGUAUGUUGAAGGCUUUCGCGAUUUCCGUUUUAGACUUACCGCUAUUGUCGAUGCUACUUAAAAUUUCCAUUUUUGCUGACAAAGAUAACUCGUUCCGUUUACGCUUCGCCAUUUUACAGCACGCUGGUUAGUUCAACAAAAGUAAACAGAUAAAAAAAAGUGUCAAGAGUGACCAACCCAACAUUAUGCACCAUGAGUCCCGUAUGACAGCAUGUUCACCUUGGAGGACGCGGUAUUCAGUUGGAACAUCAGCAGCUAACGAGAGCAGUUCAUGUUCUUGGAACAGCCCAUGCGGCGUGUGGUUACGGUUUUGUAUUGUAACUCUCAGGUAAUUGUGGGCUUCUACUUGUUUGUAUUCUGUUUUUAAAAUGUGUAAAAUUCUUUAAAUGGGAAAUUUAUCUUGCAAAUAAAUAUUUUUCUAAUCAAGGUAUUAAUUUCAAUAAAAGCAAUUUCCUUUAAAUAGCCGCGUUCAUUCUAGUGUGUUUUCUACAGUUUGUAGCACUGCACUAUUUUCCGUUGUCUAUGAAAAAUAUGGUUGUUAACAAAACAAGACGUGGUCGUAAAAUGUUUGCUGUUCGAAGUACAGUCAAACCUCUAUCUAUCGUUUUUCAGGGGACCAACAAAAAAAUUCAGUAGAUGCGGACAUUCAAUAGAUGUGGACUUCACUCUAAGAAUUUUUAAAAAAUAUUUCAACCUCAAAAUUAGUGUCAGAAAUAUAUCAGUUACUUGUCAUUAAAGUUAAAUCAGAUGAAAAAUAAAUAAAAAUGGUAGUAUUUUACUUAAUUCAAUUUACACUUGCAAAAAAAAAAAAAACAUACGCACAAUAAAUCUACAUGGAAAUUAAAGUCUUUUUCAAUAUCCUGAAGUCUGAAAUAUGUUUACUCAUGUCAUCAAAUGUAGAGCUGUACUGAAGAAGCCGAUUUUGCCAAUAUUUAGUUGAAUCGGCAUUUCUGCCGACUUCCGAUACGCUUGUUAAUUUUCGGGCGAUAUUACUGAAAAACGAGAGAGACUGCCAUAACCUAAAAAUCCACGAUUACCCUUUUCGCUUUUCGUAGUAGUACUGCAUUUUUUCAGAUUGCAUUAUUUCUUUGCAACAUGUGCCAAACGUACAUAUAAAAAUUUAACAUCCUAUUUUUCAAUAAUGUUCUUUAUUUUUAAUAUGUCAUAAAUAAAUACAUUACCGUCACGGUAAAUAUACAUCUCGGUUGUUACGGUAACUGUAGUGCAAAUGUGGUAGCUAUCGUGCUUCUGUAGUAAUUAUGGUAUCGACAAAGAAUCUUUAGUUCUUUUUAUGGUAAUUAUCUUAGGAUAACAAUUGGGUUUGUACUGUAGUUAUGGUACAUCAUCCAUUUUUCUUCAUAAGUUGUUGUUCAUUUGUCUUUUUUUCAUAUUUACGUGCUCCAUUACUUGGCUGCAGAUUUAAGUUGAUUUUUACUACUGUAUACUAUCGUUAUUGUUUUUAUGAUGGUUUCUUUCUAAGAAAUGGUUAUUUCUGCAAAAUCUUUAUGGUUAAACGAUCAUCUAUUAUCAUUUAUAGUGACGGGACCACAUAUUUUGUACGAUCAAUGCGGACAAAACGAUAAUUCAAACAUCGGUACAAGCGGACUUUUUUAACCUUAGUUGUAUGGCAAUUUUGCCGGGACCGUACAAAGUAUACGAUAAACACGGACAAUCGAUACAUGCGAGUUUGAUAGAUAGAGGUUUGACUGUAGACCAUUUACCGUACAAAUUAUUUGCCGUUAACAGAAUUAUAGUGAAGCUGUGUGCACGUGAUUAAAGUGUGCGAUUCUUGUUCUAAAAUUUCAUUCGGUUUAUCCGAUAAUAAAACAAUAGUACACUACGUGAGCGGACGUGAGGUUACUUCGUAAUACAUAAUAACGAAUAUUUCGUAUUAACCGUAUUGAUUGACAUUAAAUAUGCUAUCCCAGUCUGAAGGGGAAUUAAAAGUGUUCGAAUAAACGCGAACUUUGAAAUAACCGGUAUUUUAUUAACGAGGUUUCACUGUAUUAAAUUUUAAUGACUAUAUGAAAAAUGCAACUCUCUCAACUCAACUCGAGAGUUUUUUGCUGGAACUCAACUCGAACUCGAUUUGACUUGAAAAACCUCUGCUCGCAGAUGUCCAGAUUCUGCAUUUUAAAAAAUUUUUGAUAAUUAUUGUUCCAAUAUGACGUACAUAUGUAAGUAUUACCAAGAUAAUACCAGUAUUGACAACAAAAUCCCUACAUCCUAACGAUUUUAUAUAUUAUACUGAAUUGUACCUUUAUUAGGGUGACAAAGAGUGAAUUCUAUGUUUUUAAACUUUCGUAACUAUAAAAAUAUUCCUGUCAAGAGACUCAAAAAUUAAUUUUCUGCCGAUUGAUAAAGAGUAAAAUGCAGGCCUCAUCUUUCAUUCGAGAUGCUUUACUCUGAGAAAUGUGGUGAUUGAUUAGAAAAUAACUUCACUUUUGUUGCUUUAAUCACACUGUAUCUGUCGUGUCAAUCAGGCUAUUGUAAUUUUAGUGUUAACACUUUUUUGCUAAUUGUUGGUAGAAUGGGACGACAUAACAUAAAAGUAUUUAGAGCAAUUACACAUCUGAACAGUAGAGGCCCGAGGCACACACCUGGAGUGUCGAACACGUUGAGCAGGUAGCUCUUGUUGCGCACGUCCUGCAGCACCAGCGUGACCGGGAUGGCCUUGAUGGACACCCCUCGCUCCUGCUCCGUGAACAAGGUGUCGGUGUACCGGAGCGGGCGCUCGUCGGGGGCGCGAAGGCCCGGGUGAGUCUGGCGCACCAGGCAAUCCACGAACGUCGUCUUCCCGUGGUGCAGAUGUCCGACGAGAGCUACGCUGCGGAUCAGUUUGUAGCAGUACCUCUUAGAUGGAAGAGCUACACCUGUCAUUCUGAACACGAACCAAGUUUUCCGGCAGUAGAUGGGGGCAUUGUAGGCGAGACCAGAGACUAAGUAUGGUGAUCAGGGGAAAAGAACUGUGUUUAACCACCCCUGCUGGUAGCUGCCGGCUGGCCCGGAGAAGCAAGACGACCCCUGGUGUUUGCAGCUUAGGCGUGCAAGUUGGACAAGGACAGUUGUCGCUUGCAGCUGUGGGGUUUUGCCUCCAUGAUCACGAACUUGCCCAGAAGAUGGGGAGAUUGUAGUCUGGAGCUACAGAGGGGACCCGAGAAGAAGUGUAGCUCGAGUGAGUACUAGUUAAUUUAAGAACCUUUAAAACUGUCUAUGACUACGUGAAUUGUGCAUCACUUCUCCAUUUAUCAUUUUCCAACCUCUUUCCUACCUCAUUUUCCUACCUCUUCCGUACCUUAUCCUUCUCUGAGAAAUGUGGUUUGCACGAUAAAUGUUUUAACAUUGCAGAUGAGUCGUUUUUAUUUUAAGUAUCAACAACUUGCUUUUAAGUGUCAUGUGGUCAUUUAACUAUUAUUUUUUUGAAAACUAUGGUAACUGGUUUCCCCCUUGGUUGGUUGUUUUGGUUUUAUGUACAUUUGACAAUGAGCAGAUAACAAGACAUCAUUAUUUAAAAACGGUUUAUUUAUUUGUGAAUACUUGUUUUAAAUAACUGGUAAAAAGUUGUCCACUUCUAAGUUAAGAGUAUGGUGUUUCCUAGGGUUAUAAUUUGCUUGUACUUGUAUGAAUCCUGAUGGUGGUAUUGGGACGAGCGACAUCGAGAUGGGCGAGACCGGGGCUGUUCGUGUGUCAACCCUGAGUGGAGGCAUCUCUUCACCGUCUCCCUCCUGGCUGCUUGCUGCCCAAGAGGUGAUAGCAUGUGAGGUUAUGUACGCUACACUUAUUAUACAAGGGUGUAGUAAUGAAGUUCUCGGAAAGUUUGAAUACUGUAUUUAGAAGGAAAAAACCAAACACUUUGUUGUUUGGAAAUUAUGAAAGAGUUAUCUGACUAAAUUUUAUAAAUAGACAAAUUAACCAUAAUCUAUCACUUUCAAGUUAUGCUCUAUCCUUAAAAACAUUCUAGUCUUAACAGAAACCUAGUUAAAGAGCUCGAUUAUUUAUAAUGUUGUUAAAACUUCACUCAACAGUCUUAUGUGUCAAUACAUAUAUUUUAAUUUAGUUAAUAAGAUUUUACUGUGAUAUUAUUUACUGUGUUCCCUUGGGGAAAACUAUUGUAAUGUUUGUACAUGCUGUUUGAAAUGUGGAGAUGAAUUGUUCAAAGUAAACUAAUAGUUAAGUUGUGACGAUUCAUUAUUUGUUUAUUUAUUUAUUUGUUCAUGAAAGUUGGAGGUUAAGAAAUUGCUGUUUCAUGGCUUGUUAUGGUUAUAAUUUAUUUUAUUUUUUUAAUAAAACCCCAUGUUGAAUUCUUCAAA